UACAGAGGGUGCGAGCGUUAAUCGGAAUUACUGGGCGUAAAGCGUGCGUAGACGGUUACGUAAGUCGGAUGUGAAAGCCCCGGGCUCAACCUGGGAAUUGCAUUCGAGACUGCGUAGCUAGGAUGCGGAAGAGGGAAGCGGAAUUUCCGAUGUAGCGGUGAAAUGCGUAGAUAUCGGAAGGAACACCAGUGGCGAAAGCGGCUUCCUGGUCCAGCAUCGACGUUCAGGCACGAAAGCGUGGGGAGCAAACAGG
rnacentral:rRNA from 1 species